UGUAAUUAUUUUACAUUUUUUCAUCACUAAUGAUGCCCUUUCAUAUAUGCUAUUUUCCCACCACCUCAUUAACUCUUUUACAAAUAACAACUUCAUUUUGGAAUUUUUAAAGUUUUGACAUGUUGGUUUAUGUCUUUUAAUUUUUUCCCCUCUCCCUUAGUUUUGUGUUUUGGUUGAAAUGCUUCAUUCCUUAUUUUUGGCAGGUAAAAGGAGAGUCCAAUACCUCUUACAUCUGUGCUUAUAUUUCGAUCGACGGAAUACACUACAGCUAUUGACUUCUGGUUUGCUGGUUGUGUUGUUGCUGAACUACUUCUUGGACAGGAAUUCUGAUUGAAGCCUAAUGGAUAAACCGACUGAUCCUCCAAAGCGCCCGAUCACUCCAUUCAUUUUCUUUUGCCAAGAACAAUCAAUGGAGUUAAAAAAAACCCAAAUGAAAGUAGACGUGAAGGAUAUUGGGGACAAAUGGAAUCAACUUCCUG